UCUUAAAUGAUGAUAAAAAAUUACGUUUUUAAAUCUGAUUGGAGCUGUUACUCUGUUCUAGAGAAACUUUUCCAUUUUUAAGAUGACUCCAUACGAGGCAUUUGUCUGAUAAACCU
rnacentral:snoRNA from 1 species